GACCGUUCACGAUCAGUAUUUCAUCAGUCUGGCGUCUGUCAGAAUGACGAAAUUAUGGCAAAUUGAUUGUUUAGGGCACAGUAUAACUAACAGGCAGUACCCAUACUCAAUGGACCUGACUUACGAAUAUAUUGGGCUUAUCCAUAGUCAUCACUACUAAUCUAAUGAAUUGAUUUAUGGCCGACUGAUGAAAUACUGAUCGUCCUAUUAAAAAAGUCACAUUAUGAUACAGCCAAAUUCCCUGAAAUCUUCAAGUUUAUUAUUUGACGGAGACUAGAUUUAUUCUUUUCUACGACGACAGUGCAUUUGCACUCUCAACAGCAACGAUUAUAAUCCAGG